UUCUUUAGAUUAAUUUUUUACUUUUCAUUACCGAUUAUCUGUAAAUUGUCUUUUAAUUGUGAUUGGUAGAGUGACAGUCAAUAUAGAAUUAGAAACUUUGACGAAGUACUUUUGGGUCUUACUUGUUAUAGUAGACACACAAAAUGCCAAUUUGAAUUAUAGCCAUUAUAUUAACCAUAUGCUAGCUUUUAAUUAGUGUUUGCAGGGGAAGUGCGUGCAUCUAUCUGAGCGAAUUGAUUUUUUACCGCAAAUUGAGUUCUCAAGUGACCUAUCAAGGUCGCUAUUUUUCGUCUCCAUAGGCAGUAAUGGCUACACCAACAACUACCUUAAGCCUUCAUUUUAUGACUCUAGCAAAUGUUACUCUCCUAGAUCUUUUGCUAAACUUCUCACUGAUACACUUCUUCAACAGUUUCAGGCAAGCCCUUCUACAUCUGGAAAUUGCCACCAAAUCUAAGUACAGAAUCCAUCCUCUAUUCUCUGAAGAUUAUGGAACUACAUCGAAUUUUAAAAUUAGAAUUUGGAUAUUUAAACUAUACUGACCUGUUGUUUUAGAUGAAAUUGGCUAACACAGUCGACCAAAAGAUUCCAACCAUAAUCAAUAGAGAUACAUGCAUUCCACAAUCAGAAACCCAAAUAAGUCCGAUGCAUACUAAGUAUAGAGGAAAACAAACAUUUGAGACAGAAAGAAAGGAAAGAGAGAAAGUUUACCUUUGUUUCCGGUGAAGAGCUUUUAAUAGUCUCUCCUUCCUGACUUGCACUCUUCUCCCUCAUGCCUUACUAUCUAACCCCAAGUUUCAUAUCAGAUUUAAAGAGCAUCAAGAACAAAAUGGAUUGGAGUAUAUUUUUGAGAAACUGAAGAGACGGGAAACAAACAAAGGAAUAAUAUAUGGCUGAGUAAGAAAUGAAGAUGUGUUGGCUGCAAAAAUAAAAGCUGCCGCAGGGAACAAUAUCAACUAAGUAAUUGAAAUGACUAAAUUACCCUCAGGUUUGAAUUAAAUUCCACGAAGCACACACGUCGAAACCUAGCUCUUUAACAGAGAUACAUGCAUUCCACAAUCAGAAACCCAAAUAAGCCUACUACAUAGUCCUGACUAAAUAUAGAGGAAAGCAAACACUCGAAACGGAAAGAAAGGAAAGAGAGAAAGUUUACCUUUGUUUCUGGUGAAUAGCUUUAAAUAGUCUCUCCUUCCUGACGUGCACUCUUCUCCCUUGUGCUUUACUAUCUAACCCCAAGUUUCAUAUCAGAUUUAAAGAGCAUCAAGAACAAAAUGAAUUGGAGUAUAUCUUUGAAAAACUGAAGAGACGGGAAACAAACAAAGGAAUAAUAUACGACUGAGUAAGAAAUGAAGAUGU
rnacentral:lncRNA from 1 species